AAACUUGUAUCUUUGACCAAUGGAUGCAGCGGAAGUGAUGCUAUGCUCCUUCCAAGGCUAAGGCCAUAGAAAGGGUACAGCCUCCAUCUGUUUCCUCUCUCAGGACACUUGUCCUUGGAACUCAGCUAUUAUGCUCUGAGAACGCACAAAUUAACUCACAUGGAGAGGCCAACAUAGAGAGGAACUAAGAUCUUCAGCUGACUGUCACCAUUGUGCACCAGACAGGAGUGAAGAAACCUUCAGAUGAUUCCAACUCCCAGCCUUCGAAUCUUCCACCUGAGGCCCCAGACCACGCUGGAUCAGAGACAAGCUGUCCCCACCGUGUCCUGUCCAACGUCCUUCACAGAAUCAGUGAGCACGACACAUUGCUGUUUCAUGACACCAAAUUGAGGGGUAAAUUCGUAUGUGUCCAUAGUAACUGGAACAGAUUUUGAUGCCAUGUAAAAUGAUACAAAAAAAGAAGAUAGAUAGGGAAUUUUUGCAAAUUGCUUAUCUAUUAAUUUAAUUUGGUCCAUUGCUAGACCAAGUACUUAAGAGUUAAUUCUGUAUCUAACAACUUAGUAACCAGAUUGUCAGCAAAAUGCAAGCAAAAUUUAGAGGGACGAUGACAUUUCAUAUUGACAGAUUAAACAUGGUACCAGUUCACUUUCAGCUCUUGACAAAGGAUACUUUUGUAUUUCUGAUCUCUCAGAAUUGUUAGCUGAGUGUUUACUAAUUUACUCUUAGCUAAAAUUCUCCUGUUUAGGAAUGAGGAAAUUCUACUAGCUAGCUCAGGGGUGGUCAGCCAGAGCUCUUGUAUUAUAGGAGCUCGUAAUAAUAAAAUUCUAUAUUUAUAGAUGGUCUUGCACGAGGUUUUUACAGCCUUAAUCUCAAGUGAAGUUUACUAAUGCAUUUGUGUGGGCAUCACAUAAAGGCAUACAGUGGCCAUAGACUCUCAUGAUCUGUUGUACCCUUUGUGAAGGAGAAAUUGAACAAACUGAUUAUUGGCUCAGCAAGAGGACAAAAUGAAGAAAGUGUAUUACCAGCAGACCCAUCUAAAAGAAAUGAUGAAGGAUCAAGGGAAAGGAUACUACAGGGAAACUUGAAACUUCAGAAAUGGAGGAAGAACAAUGAAAAUGGUUAACUGUACUGUCUUCUUUAAUCCUUUCGACAACUCUAAAUGGCGGGCAUGAUUAUUCACAUUUCACUGAUGAGGAAACCGAGGCUCAAGAAAAGAUGAACUUAAAAUUCUGUCACAAAGGCCUUUCUAUUGCCACCAUGCUGUCUCCUAGGUAAUUCUCUGUGUUAUUGGCGACGAUGGACAUGUGAAUUGACGAUGCUAUCUAUUCAAAGUGUUUAUGAUAUAUACACCUAUAUAGGCACUUUUAAAUUAUAUCCCUAAUGAAAGAUGGUUUUGUUUGAAUGAGACAUAACCUAAUAUGGAGCCUCACCAUUUUGUGUGUCUCAGGUGCACUUUGCUGGACAUCUUCUGACUUAAGGGCCUCUUGCCUAGUGAAGAGGAGUC